GACUCUUAGCGGUGGAUCACUCGGCUCUAGUGUCGAUGAAGAAUGCAGCUAGCUGUAAUUAAUGCAGCAUGUAUUACCUUGUGAAGUUUGCUUUCUUAUAAAUUAGCACAUACUCGCCUUCCCAAUUAAAAUGUAAUCCCUACUGCAAGAUCU
rfam:Cricetulus griseus cell line CHO-K1, whole genome shotgun sequence.